rnacentral:snRNA from 1 species
GGAUAUAAGGACAGUCUGGCUGAGACAUCCGUCUGUCUCCCCACUGAUUGCCAGCAUCAUCUGGCUGAUCAGGCUGGCUAGGCAGGUGUCCUCUUACUCCUUCACAGCCUCAUGCAUGCCCCUCCCCAAGCUGUAUGCUCCCUUCUAUCCCAUAGCUAGCACCAGGACUGCUUUAGUUGUC